CCUACGGGAGGCAGCAGUGGGGGAUAUUGCACAAUGGGGGAAACCCUGAUGCAGCGACGCCGCGUGUGGGAAGACGGUCCUCUGGAUUGUAAACCACUGUCCCCAGGGACGAAGAUGACGGUACCUGGGGAGGAAGCUCCGGCUAACUACGUGCCAGCAGCCGCGGUAAUACGGAGGGAGCGAGCGUUGUCCGGAAUUACUGGGUGUAAAGGGAGCGUAGGCGGGACUGCAAGUUGGGUGUCAAAUCUACCGGCUCAACCGGUAGCCGCACUCAAAACUGCAGUUCUUGAGUGAAGUAGAGGCAGGCGGAAUUCCUAGUGUAGCGGUGAAAUGCGUAGAUAUUGGGUAGAACACCGGUGGCGAAGGCGGCUAUCUGGCCAUUUACUGACGCUGAGGCUCGAAAGCAUGGGGAUCAAACAGGAUUAGAUACCCCAGUAGUC
rnacentral:rRNA from 1 species